UACGUAGGGGGCAAGCGUUGUCCGGAAUCAUUGGGCGUAAAGCGCGUGUAGGCGGCUUGGUAAGUCUGCUCUGAAAGCCCGGGGCUCAACCCUGGAAUGCCGGUGGAUACUGCCGGGCUGGAGUCCGGAAGAGGCGAGUGGAAUUCCUGGUGUAGCGGUGAAAUGCGCAGAUAUCAGGAGGAACACCAAUGGCGAAGGCAGCUCGCUGGGACGGUACUGACACUGAGACGCGAAAGCGUGGGGAGCAAACAGG
rnacentral:rRNA from 1 species